rnacentral:rRNA from 1 species
AAAACCCAAAGGCGUAAUGAAAGUAAAAGGGCGGAUAUUUGUACACUUGUGUUCAAUUUCCCCCGAGGAAAGAUGGAAAGAUUGUUAUUAACAAUUAUGGUUACGGCUAUAUUUUGUUAUUAAUAAAGAUUUCCCGCAUUCCCGGGGCGCUUGUUUCUUGCUUGCAAGUCAAUGCGCACCUAGAGCGUACACGCUGAUACCCGAAAGAUGGUGAACUAUGCCUGGCCAGGACGAAGCCAGGGGAAACCCUGGUGGAGGUCCGCAGCGAUUCUGACGUGCAAAUCGAUCGUCGGAGCUGGGUAUAGGGGCGAAAGACCAAUCGAACCAUCUAGUAGCUGGUUCCCUCUGAAGUUUCCCUCAGGAUAGCUUGCGCUCGGUUGAGAAGAGUCUCAUCCGGUAGAGCGAAUGAUUAGAGGCAUUGGGGUCGAAACGACCUCAACCUAUUCUCAAACUCCAAAUAGAUGAGACCCCCGGCUUUCUUAAAAUUGAAGCCGUGGGAUUUUGAAUCAGAGUGCCAAGUGGGCCAAUUU